UACAGGGGGUGCAAACGUUGCUCGGAAUCAUUGGGCGUAAAGCGCACGUAGGCGGUUCGUUAUGUCGGAUGUGAAAGCCCUUGGCUUAACCGAGGAAGUGCAUCCGAAACUGGCGAGCUAGAGUACGAAAGAGGAUCGCGGAAUUCCCGGUGUAGAGGUGAAAUUCGUAGAUAUCGGGAGGAACACCGGUGGCGAAGGCGGCGAUCUGGGUCGAUACUGACGCUGAGGUGCGAAAAGCGUGGGGGAGCAAACAGGG
rnacentral:rRNA from 1 species